GUGCCAGCAGCCGCGGUAAGACGUAGGUGGCGAACGUUAUCCGGAAUUAUUGGGCGUAAAGGGUGCGUAGAUGGCCUGAUAAGUUAGCAGUGGGAAAUCGAGGCUCAACCUCGUGGAAGCUGGUAAUACUGUCAGGCUCGAGUGCAGGAGAGGUUAACGGAACUCCAUGUGGAGCGGUAAAAUGUGUAGAUAUAUGGAAGAACACCAAUAACGGCGAAGGCAGUUAACUAUUCUGUUACUGACAUUGAGGCACGAAAGCGUGGGGAGCAAAACGGAUUAGAUACCCGUGUAGUCCACGCCCUAAACGAUGAGUGCUAGAUAUUGGGAACUUGAUUCUCAGUGUCGCUAGAUAACUCGGUAAGCACUCCGCCUGGGUAGUACGCUCGCAAGAGUGAAACUCAAAGGAAUUGACGG
rnacentral:rRNA from 1 species